rnacentral:rRNA from 1 species
UACGUAGGGGGCAAGCGUUGUCCGGAUUUACUGGGCGUAAAGAGCGUGUAGGCGGCCAAACAGGUCCGUUGUGAAAACUGGAGGCUCAACCUCCAGACGUCGACGGAAACCGUGUGGCUAGAGUCCGGAAGAGGAGAGUGGAAUUCCUGGUGUAGCGGUGAAAUGCGCAGAUAUCAGGAAGAACACCAAUGGCGAAGGCAACUCUCUGGGACGGUACUGACGCUGAGACGCGAAAGCGUGGGGAGCGAACAGG